GAUGAACGCUAGCGGCAGGCUUAAUACAUGCAAGUCGAGGGGCAGCACGGUUAGCAAUAACUGGUGGCGACCGGCGCACGGGUGCGUAACACGUAUACAAUCUACCUUAAACAGGGGGAUAGCCUUUCGAAAGAGAGAUUAAUACCCCGUAAUAAAUUGAACGGCAUCGUUUGAUUUUGAAAGCUCCGGCGGUUUGAGAUGAGUAUGCGUCUGAUUAGCUAGUUGGUGAGGUAACGGCUCACCAAGGCGACGAUCAGUAGGGGAUCUGAGAGGACUAACCCCCACACUGGUACUGAGACACGGACCAGACUCCUACGGGAGGCAGCAGUAAGGAAUAUUGGUCAAUGGAGGCAACUCUGAACCAGCCAUGCCGCGUGCAGGAUGACGGCCCUAUGGGUUGUAAACUGCUUUUAUACAGGAAGAAACACUAGGUUCGUGAACCAGCUUGACGGUACUGUAAGAAUAAGGAUCGGCUAACUCCGUGCCAGCAGCCGCGGUAAU
rnacentral:rRNA from 1 species